CUUGACCUCAAAUCAGGUAGGACUACCCGCUGAACUUAAGCA
rnacentral:rRNA from 2 species